CCCGCGGGAGCCCCGAAGCCCGGCGCGCGCGAGUCUCCCCGGCGGCGGCCUCGGGCUGCGCACGCGUGGGCGGGGUCCUCGCGCGCAGCCCACACGCCGGGCCCCCCCCAGCCGCCUCCCUGUCCCCGAGCAUCCGUCCGCCGCUUCCCUUCGCGCGCGGGCCCCGCCGGCAGGCGCGUUCCCGGCUCCUCGGAAGAAUGGAAGCGUAUGAUUGCUGUAAUUUCUGCUGUAGGACAAAACGCGAGACAAAGCAUCUCUGACAAGAAUACAAACCAAAAUGACAGCUGAAGAAUGUUGCCUGUUACCUGGUCAACACGGAGCAAGAAAACAUAUUGAAUCACUAUUUCUAAUGGAUGGCUCGCAAGUUCAUUUUAAAAACCAUAAGGAAGUUCAAGAGGCUGCUAUUGUCAUCAUGUUUCACUCAGAAACCAUAUUAUUUUGGACCAGUGGGGACGGUACAGUAGCAGCAUCAGACCCGGAAGCACAGAGUGCAGAUUCCGCGUUCCCACGGUGGCUGUACCGGCCCCCGAAGCUCAGGGCCACCGGGACGGCAGUGUGGAAGGGGACGGGGCGUGGUGCUGGGCAGGAGGACCUCUGCCUGACGCCUCCAGUCGUGUCUAGUGUGUUCUGGUAUUCUCCGCAGAUGUAUCCCACUUUCUGUAAGCCCCGAUGUGGAAGAGGAUGGGAAUUUCCUCUGCAGUUUCCUCCUUGACGGGUGGGACAUUGUGUAUAUA